rnacentral:rRNA from 1 species
CGGCAGCACGGGAGCUUGCUUCUGGUGGCGAGUGGCGAACGGGUGAGUAAUGUAUCGGAACGUACCCAGUCGUGGGGGAUAACUCUCCGAGAGGAGAGCUAAUACCGCAUACGUCCUGAGGGGGAAAGCGGGGGACCUAAGGGUAACUGAGGGCCUCGCGCGAUUGGAGCGGCCGAUAUCGGAUUAGCUAGUUGGUGGGGUAAAGGCUCACCAAGGCGACGAUCCGUAGCGGGUCUGAGAGGACGACCCGCCACACUGGAACUGAGACACGGUCCAGACUCCUACGGGAGGCAGCAGUGGGGAAUUUUGGACAAUGGGGGCAACCCUGAUCCAGCCAUUCCGCGUGAGUGAAGAAGGCCUUCGGGUUGUAAAGCUCUUUCAGCAGGAGCGAAACGGUCGUUUUUAAUACAGACGGCUAAUGACGGUACCUGCAGAAGAAGCACCGGCUAACUACGUGCCAGCAGCCGCGGUAAUACGUAGGGUGCGAGCGUUAAUCGGAAUUACUGGGCGUAAAGCGUGCGCAGGCGGCGACAUAAGACAGAUGUGAAAUCCCCGGGCUCAACCUGGGAACUGCGUUUGUGACUGUGUUGCUAGAGUGUAGCAGAGGGGGGUGGAAUUCCACGUGUAGCAGUGAAAUGCGUAGAGAUGUGGAGGAACACCGAUGGCGAAGGCAGCCCCCUGGGUUAACACUGACGCUCAUGCACGAAAGCGU